GUCUGCGCUGGGCACGGAGCGGCGCGCGCGCGCCCGUCUUUCCCUCGGCGGCCCCCGCGGCUCGGACCCGGGCCGGCAGACAGGCCAUCCAUCAUCCGCCCUCCUCCCGCGGAGCGCCGCAGCCGCCGCGGCCAAUCCGGCGGCAGGUGGGGCCGCACCUGCGCGACAGCCCGCCGCUUCCCUCCGCUCCCUUCGCCGCGCCUCGCGUGCUAGCGGUGCCCUUGUGAGCCACUGCGUUCUCCAAGGCCAGAACGGGACAGUUGACGAUGGUCGUACUUCUCCAUGUUCUGAGACCAGUUUAAACAAAAACAAAAACCAGACAACAACCUUGCAAGGGAAAGAAUUCAGAGUAAAUAAACAGUCUUUUUCUGGGAAGUAAAAUAUUUCCCUAAGAUGGAGAAAUUGAGAUGAGAGCUCAUCCACAAGAUUACCCAUCAAUGAGCACCAAUAGCAACCAAAUCCACUAGAAGACUGGGAGCUUUUAAGUCAAGAAACUUACAUCAGUAUCAUCAUUCCAAGAAGCGGUAUCCAAGCUGUUUUAUCGAAAGUGCGCAUGGGAGAUAAGACUCUGAGAAUUUAUAGAAACAAACAUUAGAAGGCAGGAAUGUGGAGAGAAGAAAGCUACCUGACAAGGGAAUCUCAGGAUACAAGGAAAACACCAAGGUGAAGACACUUAAAGAAGGUGACAUAUGACCACAAGAAUUAAGAACAAACAGGGAAACAUGAUAUCACAAGAAAAAAAUAUGAAGCCAGUGACUAACCCUGAAGGGACAGAGAAGAAUGUACUGCCUGACAAAGAAUUCAACAUUUCUAUUUUAAAGAAGAUCCUUGAGGAAUCACCACACUGUCUUCCACAAUGGUUGAACUAAUUUACACUCCAACCAACAGGGUAAAAGCGUUCCUAUUUCUACACAUCCUCUCCACCAUCUGUUGUUUCCUGACUUUUUAAUGAUCACCAUUCUAACUGGCCUGAGAUGGUAACUUGUUGUGGUUUUGAUUUUCAUUUCUAUAAUGACCAGUGAUGAUGAGCUUUUUCCCAUAUGUUUGUGGGCUGCAUAAUGUCUUCUUUUGAGAACUGUCUCUUCAUAUCCUUCGCCCACUUUCUGAUAGGGUUGUUUGUUUUUUUCUUGUAAAUUUGUUUAAGUUCUUCGUAGAUUCUGGAUAUUAGCCCUUUGUCAGAUGGAUAGAUUGCAAAAAUUUUCUCCCAUUCUGUUCAGGUCUUGUCCCCAUUUUUAAUCCCAGGCUUUUCUUGCUAUUGAGUUUUUAAAUAUAAUUUGGAUAUUAACUCUUUAUCACAUAUAUACAAUGUAUAAGAAAUAUGCAGAUAUUUCAUAUCAUUAUGUAGAUUGUCUAUUUUCUCUGUUGACUUUCUUUUGCUGUGCAGAGUCUUUUUUGUUUGAUGCAAUUUCAUUUGUCUAUUUUUGCUUUUCUUGGCUAUGCUUUUGAGGACUUAUUUUAAAAAUUAUCUAUAAAAAGAUGUCUUCACUCUAAUGUUUAUUGCAGGAGUAUUAACAAUUGCCAAGAAAUGGAAUCAAUGGAUAAAUGAAUAAUGAAAUAUGGC
rnacentral:lncRNA from 1 species